UACGUAGGGGGCAAGCGUUGUCCGGAAUCAUUGGGCGUAAAGAGCGUGUAGGCGGCCCGGUAAGUCCGCUGUGAAAGUCCAGGGCUCAACCCCGGGCGUGCAUUCGAUACUGCGCGGCUCGAGACAGGUAGGGGAGAUCGGAAUUCCUGGUGUAGCGGUGAAAUGCGCAGAUAUCAGGAGGAACACCGGUGGCGAAGGCGGAUCUCUGGGCCUGUUCUGACGCUGAGGCGCGAAAGCUAGGGGAGCGAACAGG
rnacentral:rRNA from 1 species